rnacentral:rRNA from 1 species
GGGGAAUAUUGCGCAAUGGGGGAAACCCUGACGCAGCGACGCCGUGUGAGGGAAGAAGGCUUUCGGGUCGUAAACCUCUGUCAGGAAGGAAGAACCUCUCAAGGCUGAACAAGCCUUGGGACUGACGGUACUUCCAGAGGAAGCACCGGCUAACUCCGUGCCAGCAGCCGCGGUAAUACGGAGGGUGCAAGCGUUAAUCGGAAUCACUGGGCGUAAAGCGCGCGUAGGCCGUCUUUUAAGUCGGAAGUGAAAACUCAGGGCUUAACCCUGAGCCUGCUUUCGAUACGGGCAGACUUGAGGGAUGUAGGGGAGAACGGAAUUCCUGGUGGAGCGGUGGAAUGCGCAGAUAUCAGGAGGAACACCAGUGGCGAAGGCGGUUCUCUGGACAUUUCCUGACGCUGAGAAGCGAAAGCGUGGGGAGCAAACA